ensembl:lncRNA
GGAGAGAUUUUGAUGCAAACAGUUCCCAAAGCACAGGGGUUGUCGUGAUCCCAAAGCACAGGACGAACUAUCGUGAUGAGAAUGAGGAGAACACUGUGUAGAAAUGCAGAGAUCUGACUGAGAUGUUGCAGAACCGCAGGAGCUCUGGUUUGCGGAGUUAUUUUAAUCUGAAGGCAGUUUCGCCUUGCUGCAUGACCUACAUUUAUCUCUGCUAGAUUACAACACUAUGCACAUCCUAUACAUAUCCUACACAUACCAUAUACAUAUCCUACACAUACCCCAUAUACAUAUCCUACACAUACCCAUAUACAUAUCCUCACAUACCAUAUACAUAUCCUACACAUACCCCAUAUACAUAUCCUCACAUACCCCAUGUACAUAUCCUACACAUACCCCAUAUACAUAUCCUACACAUACCCCAUAUACAUAUCCUACACAUACCCCAUAUACAUAUCCUAACAUACCCCAUAUCCUACACAUACCAUAUACAUAUCCUACACAUACCCCAUAUACAUAUCCUAACAUACCCCAUAUACUACACAUACCCCAUAUACAUAUCCUCACAUACCCCAUAUACAUAUCCUACACAUACCCCAUAUACAUAUCCUAACAUACCCCAUAUACAUAUCCUAACAUACCCCAUAUCCUACACAUACCAUAUACAUAUCCUAACAUACCCCAUAUACAUAUCCUCACAUACCCCAUGUACAUAUCCUACACAUACCCCAUAUACAUAUCCUACACAUACCCCAUAUACAUAUCCUACACAUACCCCAUAUACAUAUCCUACACAUACCCCAUAUACAUAUCCUCACAUACCAUAUACAUAUCCUACACAUACCCCAUAUACAUAUCCUCACAUACCCCAUGUACAUAUCCUACACAUACCCCAUAUACAUAUCCUAACAUACCCCAUGUACAUAUCCUACACAUACCCCAUAUACAUAUCCUACACAUACCCCAUAUACAUAUCCUCACAUACCAUAUACAUAUCCUACACAUACCCCAUAUACAUAUCCUCACAUACCCCAUGUACAUAUCCUACACAUACCCCAUAUACAUAUCCUAACAUACCCCAUGUACAUAUCCUACACAUACCCCAUAUACAUAUCCUACACAUACCCCAUAUACAUAUCCUCACAUACCAUAUACAUAUCCUACACAUACCCCAUAUACAUAUCCUCACAUACCCCAUGUACAUAUCCUACACAUACCCCAUAUACAUAUCCUAACAUACCCCAUGUACAUAUCCUACACAUACCAUAUACAUAUCCUACACAUACCCCAUAUACAUAUCCUAACAUACCCAUAUACAUAUCCUAACAUACCCCAUAUACUACACAUACCCCAUAUACAUAUCCUCACAUACCCCAUGUACAUAUCCUACACAUACCCCAUAUACAUAUCCUAACAUACCCCAUAUCCUACACAUACCAUAUACAUAUCCUAACAUACCCCAUAUACAUAUCCUCACAUACCCCAUGUACAUAUCCUACACAUACCCCAUAUACAUAUCCUCACAUACCCCAUGUACAUAUCCUACACAUACCCCAUAUACAUAUCCUAACAUACCCCAUAUCCUACACAUACCAUAUACAUAUCCUAACAUACCCCAUAUACAUAUCCUCACAUACCCCAUGUACAUAUCCUACACAUACCCCAUAUACAUAUCCUACACAUACCCCAUAUACAUAUCCUACACAUACCCCAUAUACAUAUCCUCACAUACCAUAUACAUAUCCUACACAUACCCCAUAUACAUAUCCUCACAUACCCCAUAUACAUAUCCUACACAUACCCCAUAUACAUAUCCUAACAUACCCCAUAUACAUAUCCUAACAUACCCCAUAUCCUACACAUACCAUAUACAUAUCCUACACAUACCCCAUAUACAUAUCCUACACAUACCCCAUAUACAUAUCCUAACAUACCCCAUAUACUACACAUACCCCAUGUACAUAUCCUACACAUACCCCAUAUACAUAUCCUACACAUACCAUAUACAUAUCCUAUACAUACCCCAUAUACAUAUCCUAACAUACCCCAUAUCCUACACAUACAUAUCCUAUACAUACCCCAUAUACAUAUCCUAACAUACCCCAUAUACUACACAUACCCCAUAUACAUAUCCUAACAUACCCCAUAUACUACACAUACCCCAUAUACAUAUCCUACACAUACCAUAUACAC